rnacentral:tRNA from 1 species
GCGCCCGUAGCUCAAUUGGAUAGAGCGUCUGGCUACGGACCAGAAGGCUCCGGGUUCAAGUCCUGGCGGGCGUACCA